rnacentral:lncRNA from 1 species
CCAGCCUUACCAAUAUUUCGGCAAAUUUUGGCAUGAUCAAAAUAAGGACAUCACCAAUAUUUCGAUAAGUAGAUGUUGUUUGGAUUGCAAACAUUGUAGGGACUAAUUUUUGGCAAAGAAAUUUAGACGAACACUUAUUUUUUGGAAUUUUUUUUUAGUGUGAACUACUUCUCAAUUCGUGAGGUACCAAACUAAGGUUAGACGUAAAUCAUGGAUUAGACAAAGGAUCACGGCAAAGUUGAAAAAGGCUGCUGGACUUUUUAUUUAAUUCAGCAAUUCAGUUGAGAAAGAGCAGUGCUCUCUAUUCAAUGCAGAGGUGGCCUUCCGUAACCAGCGAUAUGCGUGCUUAAUUAGAGGAGACGAAGGAGAAAGAAAAAAAAAGAUCGUAUGUGUUAGUUUGAGGAGAGAUUUAGGAAAACAGACUGGGCCCACCAGGGAUUAGAGAGGGCGAGCAGGGAUGCCAAUUCUUGGG